UCCUACGGGGGGCAGCAGUGAGGAAUAUUGGUCAAUGGCCGAGAGGCUGAACCAGCCAAGUCGCGUGAGGGAUGACGGCCCUACGGGUUGUAAACCUCUUUUGUCGGGGAGCAAGACCCGCCUCGUGCAGGCGGAGCGAGAGUACCCGAAGAAAAAGCAUCGGCUAACUCCGUGCCAGCAGCCGCGGUAAUACGUAGGGUGCGAGCGUUAAUCGGAAUUACUGGGCGUAAAGGGUGCGCAGGCGGUUGAGUAAGACAGAUUUGAAAUCCCCCAGCUUAAAUUGGGAA
rnacentral:rRNA from 1 species